rnacentral:rRNA from 1 species
AUAUUAAUAAGCGGAGGAAAAGAAACUAACCAGGAUUCCCUCAGUAACGGCGAGUGAAGCGGGAAGAGCCCAGCACCGAAUCGCGCGUCGUCUCGACGCCGCGAACUGUGGUGUUUAGGACCAGCGCAUGCGCGUCGGUCCGGCGUCCGAGUCCUCCUGAUCGGGCUUUGCCAGAGCGGGUGUCAGCCCUCUACGGCGCCGGAACGUCGUGCCCGCCACGUCCUCGGAGUCGGGUUGUUUGAUAAUGCAGCCCAAAGCGGGUGGUAAACUCCAUCUAAGGCUAAAUACGGACACGAGACCGAUAGCGCACAAGUA